rnacentral:lncRNA from 1 species
UUCCGGCUCCCCCAUGCGCGGACCGGGGGUGUUCUGAUAUUUGCUCAUAGGAGGGUAAAGCACACUGACACAAUAUUUAACGUGGUUCGGCAAAACCGCCUACAUCCACGGGAGAGAGUCCAUAUUAUUUAGAGAUAGAGAAAGGAUACAAUAAAUACAUGGAGGAGGAUCACUCAACUCCCAGCUCACACACCCUGCUGUAUAUGGCAGCAGGGCUGCUGCCCAUGGCAGCAGCUCCUCUU